rnacentral:rRNA from 1 species
AUUGGACGCUGGCGGCAGGCCUAACACAUGCAAGUCGAGCGGAUGAAGGGAGCUUGCUCCUGGAUUCAGCGGCGGACGGGUGAGUAAUGCCUAGGAAUCUGCCUGGUAGUGGGGGAUAACGUCCGGAAACGGGCGCUAAUACCGCAUACGUCCUGAGGGAGAAAGUGGGGGAUCUUCGGACCUCACGCUAUCAGAUGAGCCUAGGUCGGAUUAGCUAGUUGGUGGGGUAAAGGCCUACCAAGGCGACGAUCCGUAACUGGUCUGAGAGGAUGAUCAGUCACACUGGAACUGAGACACGGUCCAGACUCCUACGGGAGGCAGCAGUGGGGAAUAUUGGACAAUGGGCGAAAGCCUGAUCCAGCCAUGCCGCGUGUGUGAAGAAGGUCUUCGGAUUGUAAAGCACUUUAAGUUGGGAGGAAGGGCAGUAAGUUAACACCUUGCUGUUUUGACGUUACCAACAGAAUAAGCACCGGCUAACUUCGUG